rnacentral:rRNA from 1 species
AAAACUUUCAACAACGGAUCUCUUGGUUCUGGCAUCGAUGAAGAACGCAGCGAAAUGCGAUAAGUAAUGUGAAUUGCAGAAUUCAGUGAAUCAUAGAAUCUUUGAACGCACAUUGCGCCCGCCAGCAUUCUGGCGGGCAUGCCUGUUCCAGCGUCAUUUCAACCCUCGAGCUCGUGUUCAUUGACGAGAUCGGUGUUGGGA